rnacentral:rRNA from 1 species
UACGUAGGGUGCGAGCGUUGUCCGGAAUUAUUGGGCGUAAAGAGCUCGUAGGCGGUCUGUCGCGUCGGUCGUGAAAACUUGGGGCUUAACCCUGAGCUUGCGGUCGAUACGGGCAUGACUGGAGUUCGGCAGGGGAGACUGGAAUUCCUGGUGUAGCGGUGAAAUGCGCAGAUAUCAGGAAGAAUAUCCGUGGCGAAGGCGGCUCUCUGGUACGGCACUGACGCUGAGACGCGAAAGCGUGGGGAGCGAACAGG